GGCGCAGACACAAAGGCAAACAAUCCCAAACACAGGCUUUGCCCUCCUUGUACGUUGAGACAAAGGAAGCAGAAAUGAGCCUGGGAUCACAGUCUGCGCUGAGCAGCAUGGAGCAAACAGGGCGUCCCCUUCUCAGUGACAGAGGGACUUGGGCUGACCAACCGUCUUGGCUUCCCUGGGACUGUCCCAGCUCAGCACUGAAAAUCUCAUGCCGAUGAAAACCCCCGCAGGCCUGGGCAGAUGGGAACCUUGGUCACUCUUGCAGAAACUUGAGUCAGAAAUAAAGCAACUUCUCCCAGGCCAUGUGGAAAAGCCAUGUGUGAACCAGAGGAACAAGUACAACAGAGCCGCUGAGUACACCCCAACACAGAGGAGCCAGCGCUCACCGAGAGAUUUGCCAAGUGGAGUCCUUUUGAGACAUCCAAAUUUCACUGUCUUCAACUUAUUAAUGUGAAACAAAGAAUAACGUAUAUGUGUGUGUAAACACGAAUAGUAACAGCUUAUAUUUGUAAACAAUGUGCCGUGCGCCCAGCACUACAUUAAGCAGUCUCCAUGCAGCACCUCCAUUAAUCCUGGGGAGCACUGUACCCACUUCAAGAGGCCUUUAGAAGAGCAAGUAACAAAAACUGGUGGAAAAAAAGCACACAUUCAACAGGAAGCAACAUCUAGAGACCUUUCUGCCUUCCAGGAUACAAAAAGAAAACAGUUCAUAAACAACUUACAUCUAAACCAGUAAUGUUGUCUCCCUGGCUCAUAGGAGCUGAAGAAGAAUUCCAGUUACUGUAGUAAGAAUAUAAGGAUGUGGACUGGUUUGAGGAUGCUUGAGGCAUGACUAUAGCAAGUACUGCGCAUACAUAUGUGGACAUCGUAAGACACACUCUCUGCUUCCCCAGGCGAAAUCUGAAUUCCAUGAUCUACACACAGAUGACACCAAAAUCGGAACAGCAAUGUCCACCCUUCUCCCGAGCCCUAGGUCGGUGCCUCUGUCCACCUGUGUCUCCUGAAACUUCAACACAGACUUCAAAUGGAGUGGCAGAAAACCAGAUUCCUUAGGGAAAGGAAGGUCUCCCAGACGGCAGGAGCGGCAGGCCUUAGGGGCAGCCGCAGGGGCUCGGGAGUCUGAACAUACCCGGUUUGAAUUCAGACUCUGGCACGCCCCAUGCGAUCAUAACAUAGUGCUGCACGUCUCAAGCCACCUAUAAAAACGGGGACAAUAACAAUAUCUGCCUCGGGGUUAAUGGAUUAGAUGUGUCGGUCCAUAGACGUUGCUGGCCACAUAGUUAAGUGGUGCGUUCACUCACUGGGCAUUGAUGGAGCGCCUACUACGUGCCAGGCCUGUUUUACGCGCCGGGGGCCCAGAGGCGCCCAGGUCAGACAAAGUGUAAACGAUUCCGACCAGAGCCCUUCAAUCUGCAUUCCGCUUCGCAGGAAACUCUCCUCCUUUUAUGAUUUUCAGCCGGACUGCCUUCCCUGUUGUUAGUUUGUAACUUUCGCUCCGGCCCCCGCAGCCUCGCGCCUGCCUUCCCUCCACUGUCCUCAGCCAAGGUGUAGUAAAGCGUCUCCGAACGCGGCGCGACCCUCGCCCACGCCCGCUCGCGGGGGGA
rnacentral:lncRNA from 1 species